rnacentral:rRNA from 1 species
UCCGUAGGUGAACCUGCGGAAGGAUCAUUAAUGAUGCCCUCGACGCCUUUACCGGCUGGUAGGGUUUGUGCCGGUCUCUUUUGGGAGCCGGCCCUAAUCUCACACACCGUGAACUGUGGCCUCGGCCAUUUACACAAACUGUUAGUAAUGAAUGUAACAUCAUAACAAAACAUAAAACUUUUAACAACGGAUCUCUUGGCUCUCGCAUCGAUGAAGAACGCAGCGAAAUGCGAUAAGUAAUGUGAAUUGCAGAAUUCAGUGAAUCAUCGAAUCUUUGAACGCACCUUGCGCCCUUUGGUAUUCCGAAGGGCAUGCCUGUUUGAGUGUCAUGAAACCUCACCCCUCCCGGGUUUUUUGCCCGGUUGGUCUGGUGGAUUGGGCGCCUGCCGAUGUUAUACUGGCUCGCCUGAAAAGCAUAAGCGCCUUGGAUGUAAUACGUUUCAUCCUCUCGGGUGGCUGAUGAACCCCACAUAUCUCAUGAUCUGGCCUCAAAUCAGGUAGGGCUACCCGCUGAACUUAAGCAUAUCAAUAAGCGGAGGA